AGGCAUUUUUGCCGUACGAAAGUGUUAUCAAAGACGUGUCAUUACUAUAAUAUGCUUGAACAAGAUGAUUCCUGUACAAAAGAGUUGGCAUCGGAGAUUUUGGAUAUUGAGGAUCUUGUUCGACUUGGGAAGAAAGAAAGUCGCUGUCCUUAUUUCAUCUGUGAAAAAUUCCAUUUGUGAAAAAUGCUGACAUUGUAUUCAUGCCGUACAAUUAUUUAAUCGAUACAAAGUCAUGACAAUCAAACGACAUUGAUAUUUCAAAGAGUAUUAUCAUCUUCGACGAAGCACACAAUAUUGUAAGGGGAUGUUCUUUAUGUAUAAAGAAUAAAAUACCUCCUUUCAAAGAUCAUCACACAGAAAUUUUCUGUGGAUCUUUUGAGUAUGGAAGACUUAGUUGUUGCAUGAUUGUAGCAAGCAACCUUGCAGACCUCGCUUCUACAAGACAACAACUGCUAAAGUUCUUCCGGAAAAAGAGCACAGCCAAAAAUCGCAAUGAUGCCACAAUUGGUACAGACCUGUAGAUAGGUUCCUAAAGCUAAAAAUAUGAAAUCUGAGCAAAAGGUUUCUUGAGUAAGUUCAAUUAAACCGCCGAAUGUUUUAAAACAGAACUUUUUCCUUGCACACAUUCUGAAGAUACAUUAUAAUUUUGAAUUUAACAACUCGUGGCGUAAUGUAAAACGACGAACAGGACUGUAAAUCUGAUGUUCGGCUAAAAUGGCUCAAGAUAAAUCACCUUUGAAGAAAGAAUCACUACGUAUAUUAUAGGCACUUUUUGAACACUCUGGUGUAAAUGAGAGUCAACGAGGCUUAAGAAAUCGUUGUACAUUACCACAAGAUUGUAGAUUGCAUACUUCAGCAUAAAUAUGUACUUACAUAAAAUAAUUAUAGGUACUUAUUUAUACUAUACAUUUUCCAUAUUACGAGGUAAUCGCGAACGCUGACUCAGUGUCUCGCUUGCUCACCAAAACUCGCGGGCGCAAAAGUAUUAAUUAUCUACGUCAACAAAGGACCGCUCACUUGUCGAAAUUUUUCGAGAGGUUCACAUUUCGCGAAGUUAGUUCGUUGCAAAUUGUUUUCAAAGGCGUUGUUAUAUUGCUGUUCAAUAUUCUACAUUGAAAUUAUCGAGAAAAUAUGUAAGUAUAUUUAAGAUUUUAUUGUUUAGUGUAAAAAUAAUUGUGGUU